UGUUUGCCUAGGUCAGGCACGACUCACGAGAGCAUCAAACCUAGGCAAUGCCCAUAAUGUUGCCAGGAAAAAAUUGAUGCACAAUGUUGCCCACUAAAGAGUAGCCCUCGUCUUGCGCAUGCGCAAGAAAUCUGUGGACGUUUGCGUCGUGUUGCUUAGGUACAACCAAGAAAGACUAUAUUUCGUGCAUUUGUCCCUAGAUUCGUAGGCGCUGGCGUGUUGCUGUCUCAAGCUCGCGUCCAGCCGUUCUCUGGCCUUGAUCGAGCGAAAUUUUUCUUACACCAUGCUUUGUCUCCGCGAAUCGUACAGCUCUCUAGUGGACGACGUAGCACGCAAAUCACUGCCCCGUAGCCAUUCCGUCAACACCGGGGUGACUGUACUACUUGCUCGAUCGACAGACGUAGCGAGCUGCAGUGCGCUGCCUUGCCACAAAAGUACACCACAGCAUCCUCUCGGAAGAUGAUAGGCAUGACCUUGGCCCUUCAUGCUGCAAUUUUUUCUGUAGUGCAAACAAGAUUCAUGAAUGAGGCAUUAAAAAGUAUGGAUAAAGCAAUAAAAAAGUUUGGAUGAGGCAAUAAAAAAGUAUAGCAAAUUUCAACAAU